UGAAUAACCUGCCUUUGAGAAGGGGAUAACUGUCCGAAAGGAUAGCUAAUACCCUAUAUUGCCUUUUGUCACUAAGGCAAAAGGUGAAAGCGAGGCUGUCAAAGGCUUCGGCUCAAAGAGGGGUUCGCGUCCUAUCAGGUAGUUGGUGGGGUAAUGGCCUACCAAGCCAAUGACGGGUAGCUGGUCUUAGAGGAUGAUCAGCCACAGUGGGACUGAGACACGGCCCGCACCCCUACGGGGGGCAGCAGUGGGGAAUCGUGGGCAAUGGGCGCAAGCCUGACCCCGCAAUGCCGCGUGAGGGAAGAAGCCCUUCGGGGUGUAAACCUCUGUCAGAUGGGAAGAUGGGACUAGGGGCUAAUACCUCCUGGUCUUGACGGUACCAUCAGAGGAAGGGACGGCUAACUACGUGCCAGCAGCCGCGGUAAUACGUAGGUCCCGAGCGUUGCGUGAUGUUACUGGGCGUAAAGCGUCCGUAGCUGGUUUCGUAAGCGGAUUGUCAAAGCCCGAAGCUCAACUUCGGCAAGGCAUUCCGAACUGCGUUACUUGAGUCCUGUUCAGGUAGACGGAAUUCCCGGUGUAGCGGUGAAAUGCGUAGAUAUCGGGAGGAACACCAGUGGCGAAGGCGGCCUACUGGGACGGUACUGACGGUCAUGGACGAAAGCUGGGGGAGCAAACCGGAUUAGAUACCCGGGUAGUCCCAGCCGUAAACGAUGGAUGUUAGGUGUAGUGAUAACUUCGCUGCACCCCAGCUAACGCGUUAAACAUCCCGCCUGGGGAGUACGGGCGCAAGCCUGAAACUCAAAGGAAUUGGCGGGGGCCCGCACAACCGGUGGAGCGUCCGGUUUAAUUCGAUGCUAACCGAAAAACCUUACCAGGGUUUGAAAUGGUAGGAAAGGCUGUCGAAAGAUAGCCGUGUUUCCCUUUUGGGAGAAAUCCUACCACAGGUGGUGCAUGGCCGUCGUCAGCUCGUGUUGUGAGAUGUUGGGUUAAGUCCCGCAACGAGCGCAACCCUUGUCCUUAUUUGCUUCCUCUUAUGAGGUGCUCUAUAAGGAGACUGCCGGCGACAAGCCGGAGGAAGGAGGGGACGACGUCAGGUCAGUAUGCCCUUUAUGCUCUGGGCUACACAGGCGCUACAGUGGCAAGGACAAUGAGUAGCGAGAGUGCAAGCUCAAGCUAAUCUCACAAACCUUGUCG
rnacentral:rRNA from 1 species